CCUGGACCCGAAGCGGGAUGAUCUAGCCCUGGGCAGGUUGAAGCGCGGGUAAGACCGCGUGGAGGACCGAACCCACCUGGGUUGAAAACCGGGGGGAUGACCUGGGGCUAGGGGUGAAAGGCCAAUCAAAUUCCGUGAUAGCUGGUUCUCUCCGAAAUGCAUUUAGGUGCAGCGUCGGUUGAUUGCAUCGCGGGGGUAGAGCUACUGGAUGCUUGCGGGCCCGUAUGGGGUACCAAUAGCAGCCAAACUCCGAAUACCGUGGAUGUGUAUUCCGGCAGUGAGUCGGCGGGGGAUAAGCUCCGUCGUCGAGAGGGAGACAGCCCAGAUCGUCGUCUAAGGUCCCGAAGCGUGUGCUAAGUGGGAAAGGAUGUGGAGUCGCAUAGACAGCCAGGAGGUUGGCUCAGAAGCAGCCAUCCUUGAAAGAGUGCGUAACAGCUCACUGGUCUAGUGGUUCCGCGCCGACAAUGUAGCGGGGCUCAAGCACACCACCGAAGACGCGGCAGUAUUUUGUACUGGGUAGGAGAGCGUCCCAUGAGGGGCGAAGCGGCCGUGUGAACGCGCCGUGGACUUCAUGGGAGUGAGAAUGCAGACAUGAGUAGCGAGAGACGGGUGAGGAUCCCGUCCGCUGGAUGACCAAGGGUUCCGGGGCCACGUUCGUCGUCCCCGGGUGAGUCGGGUCCUAAGGCGAGGCCGACAGGCGUAGUCGAAUGGAUGAACGGGUGGAUAUUCCCGUACCGGCGGCGUACCGUAAGAGCCGAACGGAUGAGUACUAACCUCCGGUCGCGUGGCGUCGUUCCCUUCGGGGUUCGGUGUCCGCGGUCGUUGGGAGCGUAGUCCUGGUAGGCUAGCGCACAGGGGUGACACGGAAUGGGAGCCGGCCGCGGAGGUGGUUUUCCGUGGUCAAGCACGCAGCCCGUCCCAUAGGCAAAUCCGUGGGGCAUGUAGGGUGAGGUGUGAUGAUGGGCGUCUUUUUGGCGCGAUAUCCGGUGGUCCAGGCCGUCGAGAAAAGCCUCGGCGCGAGGGGCGUCGCCGCCCGUACCCCAAACCGACACUGGUGGUCAGGUAGAGAAUACCAAGGCGAUCGAGCGAAUCCUGGUCAAGGAACUCGGCAAAUCACUCCCGUGCCUUCGGUAUAAGGGAGACCCCCGGGCGUGAAGAGGCUUGCCCUCGGAGCGUUUGGGGGUGGCACAGACCAGGGGGUAGCGACUGUUUACCAAAAACACAGGUGCAUGCGAAGGCGCAAGCCGCUGUAUAUGCACUGACGCCUGCCCGGUGCCGGAAGGUUAAGAGGAUCCGUCAGCCCCUUUUUGGGGUGAAGCGGUGAAUUCAAGCCCCGGUAAACGGCGGUGGUAACUAUAACCAUCCUAAGGUAGCGAAAUUCCUUGUCGGGUAAGUUCCGACCUGCACGAAUGGCGUAA
rnacentral:rRNA from 1 species